GACGUAGGGCGCGAGCGUUGUCCGGAUUUAUUGGGCGUAAAGAGCUCGUAGGCGGCUUCACAGGUCCGCUGUGAAAACUCGAGGCUCAACCUCGAGCUGUCGGUGGAAACCGUGUGGCUAGAGUCCGGAAGAGGAGAGUGGAAUUCCCGGUGUAGCGGUGAAAUGCGCAGAUAUCGGGAAGAACACCCGUGGCGAAGGCGGCUCUCUGGGACGGUACUGACGCUGAGACGCGAAAGCGUGGGGAGCGAACAGG
rnacentral:rRNA from 1 species